CCCUCAGAGGGUGGGCCUGUGCCUGGGCCCCAGAGCUGGGUGGGCAAAAAUCACUUGCCUUCUUGCGGCACAGCCACCAAACACAACACAGCAGCAGUGGCGCAAGCAGCAGGGGCGGCACAAAAUAGAGCCAGUUGCAAAAAAUGCCCUGGCUGAGAAAGACAGCAAUAUGAACCACGCCUAAGGGACAGAGGAAUGCCAGGCCUGGGAGGGCCUGGGUAGCCUCAUCCUGGUGCCCACCACUUGGAGGCCCAUCUGCCCAUUCUCCCUUCUCUACAGGUGGUCCCACCUCAAGGCACAACAGUGGGGCCGGGGGUAAGGGAUGCUUCCAAGGGAACUACAAACCCCUCCUCUGGCCCCGCUGAAAGUCUCUGCCCAAGAGCCCUGCCAAGAAAGUCCCGGAAGCUUCCACUGUCUGACAAACCCACCCUCACUGCACACCUCGCCUGCAGCACAGGGCUUCUGUGAGGACCACAAAAUCUCCAGCUGACUUCAAUGAAGUACUCCCUAAAGCACAGAAAACACAGACGGUGAGAGCCAGCCCAGAGAGAUGCAGUUCUUGACCUUGGCCAGUGGACAGCGUGGGUAAUGAGAGGUCAUUCCCCAAACGCUUGCAGAGUCUGUUGGCUUAACUCUGAGAAGCAACCUGGAGCAAAGGUACCAUUCCUCAGGCAAUCAUCUCCUGCAUCCUGUCCUCCUCACAGACCCUAGGAUGCUGCAGAUCCCUGAAUACCUUGGGGGCGGCCACCAACAAUAGAAGGUGGAGAGGGUGCCCUUAACCCAGUGGCAGACACGUGCCGCCCCAGCAGUGGGGGUGGCAUCCACAUUCUGUACAGCUCACAGUGCCCAACCCUGACCCCCUGGCCUCCUAACCUAUAGGGCCUCCUGCCAGGUUUUUCUAUCUUUGGUCCAGGGCAAGUUUUGGAAGUCUUGUCCAUACUGAUUGGAUGUUCAUCUAAAAGGAAAUGACAUGGGAAGAAUGUCGAUGCACUUGUCUGACCAGUGUCUCUCCCCAUGUCUGUCCUCAGCAUGCAGAGCUGACCCUGAGGCCCAGGACCAGCAUCUGGGCUCUGCCUUCCUCUUACAGAGACCCCUGUGAGCACCCACCAUACCCAGGCCCUGUGCAAUGCUCUGCUGUGUAACAGGAACAGGCAGGCAGAGUCCCUGCUCUCAAGGGACUCACAUUUAGAGAUUGCAUGGGACACAGAAAACAAAAUUAAAAAACAAACAAAAAAAAAACCAGGACAGAACAGAUGACAGAGAGUGCAACGUGCUGUGAUGUCCAUGACCAGAGGAGGUGAGGGGACCAGAGGGGCAGGGACAGCCACUUCAUUAUGUGUGACUUCUCCUAUCUUGUAGAGCCACAAUUUCUGGUCUAGAGGAACAUGAAAUAAUGCAAGGCCAGGGAUUUGCUUCAAAAUACUCUGUGGUAAGGGUUCCAAGGAAAGCAGAUGGGGGCAGGUUGAGAAUUAUUGAAAGUAGGUUUAUGGCACAAUUCUUGUUAUUUUGUAUACUGUUGAAAACUUCCAUGAAUAAUAAAUUCUCUCUGAAAAGGUGACAUUUCAGCUGAAAUUAAAAAGAUGAGGAGCCAGCCAGGCAAAGAUCAUGUGCCAAUGCCCUGGGCAGUGACUCGCUGACCUUGUCAAGGAGGGAAAGAGGUGAUCCAGAACAGGGGGCAGGGCCUCGUGGGCCCUGGAAAGGGGUUGGGGUUUUAUUUCUUGUGCAGUGAAUCUGUCCAGGUUGGGCAGAUCCAGGAUGUAUUUUGCACAUGGAGGCAACAGGACUUGCUGGUGGGAUGGAUGUGAGGAAGAAGCUCAGAGGAGUCAAAGAUGACAUUUGAGUGUUUGACCAGAAUAACCGGGUGGACAGUGACACCAUUUACCAAAAGGGGGAAGCCUGAGGAGGUAACUGGGUUUGUUUGUUUUAAGUCUGUAAUUUUGUUUCCCAAUUUUUAUUUCUUUAUAUAUUUAUUUAUUUAUUUUUUGUGGGAGUGUGGUGGGCUCAGGAGAGUUCUGUAACAUGUAGACAUAGAACCUUCUCAUCCUGAGCCCACAUCCUUUUCAUGCCUCCUGAAGUGUUGGGGAGGGCACGGGCCCUGCUGCAUCUGCCUGCUGGCCUGGCUCCAGCUCUCUACCCACUGGGCUUGGCUGCCAGGACCCCGGCUUCCCAGGGCCAGCAACUGCCUGGCCAACCUAGGACUGCCAGAACCCGUGGUAUCGACGUUUUCGCCAAGGAUGAUUUCAAAACAAUUAUGGCAUCUUCCUCAUUUUCCUUUGAAAACCUUUCUCUGCUUUUUUUUCACCUCCCUAAAUAUGCACAUAGUUUACUCUGGCAUGUGUUUUCCAUGCCUUAUUCCUGAAUAAAUAGCACUUCAGUCUCUGUUUGUUAUUUUGGUUGAUAAAAAUCGUAUCCAGGCACUUCCCAGAAGCCAGAACUAGGCUCUGCCCCUGCUUCCCCAUAGGGACAUAUGCAGGACAGAGGGAAGUCUCUCCCUGACCUGCACCUCCGGUCUGGCAUCAGCCACCAGGGAAGGCACGCUGCCAUCUAGUGGGGGGUGCAGGGGAGACGUGUUCAGUGGUGGCCAACACUCCAGGGACAUGUUCCGGGGAUAUCUUCCUAAUAGUGAAAAUAGGUUUAAAGGUUGUUCUCAAUUAUUUUAAAAAAUAAGCUUCCUUUUACUCCUGGAUAAGCCAUCAACCAGGAGCAGAAUGGCCAUCUACGCAGGUGCUCACAGCUGUGGCAUGGGCUCCCCACUGUGAGACGUCGGUGCUGGCCUGUGUAUGGAGAGGUAGAUGGUAACCUCCAGGGUGGGAAGCCAGUACACCCACAGGCCCACAGAGGAAGCAGCUGAAUGCCCUUCACGGAGGUAGGCUGGGUACCCCCUUUCCCAGGAGCUGCCACCACAGGGAGGCAGAAGGCCCUGGUAGGGCAGGAAGAUUGCCUGGGUCUGCUUUCCUGCCCUGCAACAUGAACUGUAUGGCCCUGGGCAGGCUCUUCCAUCAUGCUUCUCUCUAGUUCUCCAUCCAUACGGGAAAGUUGUCAGAACUAAAAUGGAGUCAUUUGUGUUAAAAAAAUAAAAUAAAGUCCAUGACAGUUAGGGCUAAGAAAGGCUACAAAGAGAGGGUUUUAUGCCUAUAUGCCUGAUAACAAAAAUAUCACAAAAGACUUUGCAAAAACCACAACCUUGCACAAAAGCCAUUGCAGACUUAACACAAAAAAAUACUUCUACAGGAACAUGUGCCCAAGAACUGCCUGUCCAGCCUUGGACUAGUGUCACCCUUGUAACUGAUCUUUUUAGGCAAGAGUAAUGGUCUCAAAACAAUUCCCUAAUCUUCAUUUCUCCUUUAAAAGCCUUUGUCUUCUUUACCUCCCUGAUUAUGCACAUUACUAUGGCACACAUAUUCCCAGUGCCGGGCACCGUUCCUGAAUAAAUACUGUUUUCUUUUAGAGAGAAACUCUCUGUCGUUCAGGUUGACAUAAAUGGUGUCCAGAAGUAGGACCUGGAGUAGGACCACUACUUGAAGAAAUCAGCCACUCUUGGAAUUGGUGUGCAGUCCUCACUUGAGCCCUUGGAGCUCCCUGUUUCUGUGACUUGCUUUCUCUGCCCUGGAGAGUCUUCUCUCAGGCUGAGCCUCCUACUUUUGGGUGGAAGCUCUUGACUUCAUUCAGCAUCUGAUUUGGAUAAGGCCACCGUAAGCCAAAGAGCUUACAUCCCUCCUGAAAUGAUAACAAUUUUUUGUCUUUUCCAGUAAUUCUUUCUGGUAUAAUGACAAAUGUUUUUCUGAUUUGAGCACCCUAGUUUCUACAUAAUUUACAUUUGUUUGUGAGGCAUGUCUUUUCUGGCAAAUUCACUUUUAGUUCUGCAUGCCUAAUUAAAUAUUUGUUUGAUCUGUAUACCCGGGUUAAAAUAUCUGUGAACAAUGACAUUGGUUUGGUUCCAUGUGUCUGUAAGUCAUAUGGAACCAAAAAAGCCCACACAGCCAAAGCAAGACUAAGCAAAAAGAACAAAUCUGGAGGCAUCACAUUACCCAACUUCAAACUAUUCACAUGGCUAUAGUCACCAAAAUAGCAUGGUACUGUUAUAAAAACAGGCACAUAGACCAAUGGAACAGAAUAGAGAAUCCAGAAAUAAACACAAAUACUUACAGCCAACUGAUCUUUGACAAAGCAAACGAAAGCAUAAAGUGGAGAAAGGACACCCUAUUCAACAAAUGGUGCUGGGAUAAUUGGCAAGCCACCAUGUAGAAGAAUAAAACUGGUUCCUCAUCUCUCAACUUAUACAAAAAUCAAUUCAAGAUGAAUCAAAGACUUAAAUCUAAGACCUGAGACUAUAAAAAUUCUAGAAGAUAACAUCAGAAAAACUCUUCUAGACACUGGCUUAGGCAGACACUUCAUGACCAAGAACCCAAAAGCAAAUGCAACAAAAACAAAAAUAUUUGUGGGGGGGUAAAUUGAUGAAAAAAAUUUUGCAUGUAAUUGACUUGGUAAUAAUCAGAAUAAAAUUAUUUAUAAGUCUUCAUAAAGAUUGAGCUCUGAUAUUAAAAAUACAGUAAUACUAAACUAAAAAAUUGGUCUCCUAUAUUAGAACACCAAAGUUUUCUUGAAAUAUUGAUUUGCUAUUAGUAAAAUUGCAAGAGGUUUUGAUUUUUAAUUCUGACUGCUGUUUUCUUUAACAGCCAUCUUCUAAACUGCAGGCAGUUUCUAUUCCUGGCACAUUUUUUCCUGAGAUCCAUUUAAUUUCCCCAGUUUCAGAUAAGGAAUGCAAUCUUUUUCAUGAAGAAUGGUAAUUUUAUUCAUUAAGGUUCUUAUUUCAGAAGUUCAAUUUCUGCUGCAUCCCACUGCACAUGGUCUGCAGGCCAUACACCAUAGCCUGUAGCGCUCCUACUCCCUUCCUCCGAAAAGUUACAGCUUUUUGGUUGGCUGAGGUGAUAACUCUCUUCUCCAACUUUUUCAUCAGCUGCUCCAACUUUUUUCCUCCAGUUCUAACUUGGCUUUUAUGGCCUGGCACUAUAAUGUUUAUCUUGAAGGCCAAGAAAAGCAAUGUUUUCCGCCAAUAUAACUAGAUUAUGUACUCUUGGCUUUUCUUGAUAUGUCUGAAUUGUUCCAUGUUACCAAGAAACUUCACGUGGUUUUACUUUAUCUAAGAGCUCUACAUUCCUCUGCUCAAGGUACUAGUCUUCUUGUUUAUACUCUCCUAUAAUAUGAGUGUACAUUCAUAACACUUGGAUAUGUUCUUUUAUCUCUAAUUGAAUUUAAGGACCCUUUCAUCAGGUUCAAUUCCAAGACUGAACAGGCUUCCCAUGAGAAGAAGCAAUUACAUUGCAGGAGAUUUUUUUUACCUUUUGGUAACUGACCUAAAAGACAAACAAUUUAUAUAUUUAUAUUUUACCAAGAUAAUUUUCUGUGUUGUCUUUAUCAAAUUUUUGAUUACUUAAGAAAACUGAGCUUUGAACAGGUUAAGGUUUUAAAAUAUUUGUAACUUUCUGUAUUGCUUUUGAAGUUUCCUGAUAAUCACUCGAGUUAAAUGAAUGGCUAUUAUUUAACAGUGACCUGUGAUUCUAUUUUGAUCUAUGGCUUUGAAUCUCUUGAUAUUUUUGGUGGGCUUCUCCUGGAUCAAAAUUCUAAAUUAAGUCCUUUUGAACUACAAUUAAUUUUGAGAUUUUCCAGUUGGGCCCUUGGAGAAUAUGCAAGAAGAUAUAUUUUAAUUUAUAGAGGUAUUAAAUGAUUAGGCUUAUUUGGUAAAUUAUAUGACAAGCAUUGUCAAAUGAGAAGUGAGGCUACAUCUUCUUUUAGUCACAUUUAUGGGUAGGUUAUUGAUAGGAAUGUUCUAAAAAUUAUAUGACAAAAUCUAAUAUAUUAUAAGUCAUAAUUUUGGUUGUUAUGUUAAAACUUCUUUAAAGUUGUAUUUAUUUGGCUGUGUUAUUGAUGUGAGUAUUCUAAAGAUUAUAGGAAAUUUAUAAGUCUGAUACUUGUGAUAUGAUGCUGUCAGUCAUGAUUAUGGUUAAUAUCUUAAAUUCCUGCAGGUAAUGGAAACAACUAAAUUUUCUUGUCGAUUGUGAACUUUUAUCAGAUUUUUAACCAUGGCUAUUCUAAGUUUUUUGGAUUCUACUCAAAAAGCAUUUGUAGUCAGUUGUUGUCCAAGUUCUUGUUAUCUGUCUAUAGAGUAGACCACAUCCCGAAUUCUUCUAUGUUCCACCAAUCCAGCCUUCUUCCAUGGAAUUACUAUAAAUGGAAAACUGUUCUGUUCCAAAAGCCCUAUAAGCUGAAACUAGAUGAAUUUUAAGAAAGCAGCCUUGUGCCUGAUGUAUGGGCCACAUAAAAAGUUUACAGUGGCUCACGCCUGUAAUCCCAGCACUUUGGGAGGCCAAGGCGGGUGAAUCACGAGGUCAGGAGAUCGAAACCAUCCUGGCUAACAUGGUGAAACCCUGUCUCUACUAAAAAAUACAAAAAAAAUUAGCCAGGUGUGGUGGCACGCACCUGUAGUCCCAGCUACUCAGGAGGCUGAGGCAGGAGAAUGGCGUGAACCUGGUCGUGCCACUGCACUCCAGCCUGGGCGACAGAGCUAGACUCUGUCUCAAAAAAAUAAAAUAAAAUAAAAUAAAAAAUAAAGUUUACCAAACCAUUUGAUGCCAUGACCAGAGACAAACUGCAAAUCAGGAUGAGAAGUUGACCUUUGCACACUAUAGACAGCUUUUUUCAAGACAUUGGAAAAGACUCCAUAGUAUAAUGAGACUCCUACACUCCUUAAGGUUACCUUUCUAACUUGGCAAGAUAAUGGAGUAAUUGAAAUUUCACAAUUACUACCUUCUGCUUGUAAGUUGACAGAAUCUGACCUAAGAGAUCCUUUGGUAUACAUUGACUAAAUAAGAAAAUGUCUGUACUAUUGCUAAUACUGCAUGCCAUCCCUGGAUAAAUUCCUCUUGGAAAGUCAAUACCAAUAUACACAAAGUAAGAAAACAGGCCACAUGGUUAAAACAGAUCUCACCUAAUUCCUUAUGAUCAUUUGAUUUAUUCAGUGGGUUACUGAUGUGGUUUGGCUGUGUCCCUACCCAAAUCUCAUCUUGAAUUGUAGCUCCCAUAAUUCCCACUUGUUAUAGGAGAGAUCCGGUGGGGGAUAAUUGAAUCAUGGGGGCGGAUUCCUCCAUGCUGCUCUGGUGGUAGUGAAUAAGUCUUAGGAGAUCUGAUGGUUUUAUAUGGGGUUUCUCCUUUGGCUUGGCUCUCAUUCUCUCUUGCCUACCACCAUGUAAGAUGUCUCUUGCUCUUCCAGCAUGAUUGUGAGUCCUCCCCGGCCAAGCGGAACUAUGAGUCAAUUAAACCUCCUUCCUUUGUAACUUACCCAGUCUCAAGUACGUCUUUAUUAGCAGCAUGAGAACAAACUAAUACAGUUGCCUUUAAGCCUAGGUUCAUGGAUAAAAACUAUUAUGCAAAUUGUAUUUUCCAUUUUUAAACUUUUUAUAUGUUACUUGUUAAAUUUUUGCAGAAGUACAACUUGUAACCAUAAUGCUAGCCCAUCACUUUGAGAUAACAGCAAGACUAUGGAACUCACAAAAUUGAACUUAAUAAUGGACUCAAGAUAGACUUAGCCCGAGAGUCACUCCUUUCAAACAUCCUUUAAAGGUCAACUGUGACUAAAAGGGAUUGACACUUACUCCAAGUUGCCAAUUGCUCCCUCCAAAAUGGACCAAGACCUGCAACCAGGACAGGCCCAUCCCAUUAUCCAGGGACAGUCAAAACCUAAUUACAGAAUGAUUGAUUAGUGAGGUGUUUGCAGAAAGAUCUUGAUCAAAAGGGAGAAAUUGUGAAAGUUCUCAGAAUCAAAAUGGAGUUAACAUGUUAAAAAAACAACAAAAAAAUCCUGGCAAGCUGAAUUGGGGAAGUUUAUGAAGAGAAGAUUCACAUGCUUGUAUACCUGAUAACAAAAACUAUCACAAAUCUCUACCAAACUACAACCUUUGCAAAGACCAUUGCAACCUUACUCAAAAAUACUUCUGCAAGGACAUCUGACCCGCAAUUGCCCAUGCAACCUCACAUUGGGGUCACCUCUAUUAUUAUUGAUCUUAGUAGCCAAGAAGAACUAACUCAAACAAUUAUGUAAUCCUUCUCACAUCUCCUGUAAAAUCUAACCUUCCUGAAUAUGCAUGUAGUUUACUAUGGCAUGCGUAUUCC
rnacentral:lncRNA from 1 species